rnacentral:rRNA from 1 species
GACGAACGCUGGCGGCGUGCUUAACACAUGCAAGUCGAACGGGCCCGCUCUCUUUUUUGGGGGUGGGUUGAGUGGCGAACGGGUGAGUAUCCCGUGAGUAACCUGCCCCCUGCUCCUGGAUAACUGCUUGAAAGGGCGGCUAAUACGGGGUGUGCCGGCUGGUCCGCAUGGGCCUGGUCGGGAUAGUUUCAUCUUCGGGUGUUUCGGUGGGGGAUGGGCUCGCGGCCUAUUAGCUUGUUGGUGGGGUGAUGGCCCACCAAGGCGGUGACGGGUAGCCGGUCUGAGGGGGAGGGCGGCCACACUGGGACUGAGCCACGGUGCAGACUCCAGCGGGCGGCAGCAGUGGGGGGUAUUGCACAAUGGACGGAAGCCUGAUGCAGCGAAGGCGCGUGAGGGAUGGAGGCCGUCGGGUGGUGAACCUCUUUCUCCGGUGGUGAAGGCCCUGUCCGUUGCGGCGGGGUUGACGGUAGCCGGGUAUGAAGCGCCGGCUAACUACGUG